rnacentral:ncRNA from 1 species
UGCAGGGGUGCCUGACUGCGGCAACGCAGCGGCUGAGAUGCUCUUCGAGAGCAAACCCUUUGACCUGAUACGGAUAAUACCGGCGUAGGGAGCAG